GCUGACCUAUUUGGGAGAAACGGGGGUGGCACUGUUCCCUCUUGCGUUUCCCUUGGUCCCCUUGGAAAUGCUCUAACGUGCCUGCGGAGCAGGGGCUGCAUUUCUCGAAGUUUGCCACUAGACUGCACCCUUAUCUAUGAUAAGAAUUCUUUCUGCAGCACUGCUCUGGAGAAAAUGUUUCUCUUGCUGGUUUGGUUCAGGAGUGAUUCUCUCUAUGCUGUUAACACUCCCAGAUUCUGAUCUGUCCUCUCACUUAUCUACUUGCUGAAAGGCACAUCUUUAAAAAAAAUGAGUUUAAAGUCCUGCUUUCGCUUGUAUUGCCAGAGGUGUUGGCUGGGAGAGGGAGGAGGAGCUGUGUGUAAUGAUGAAAAAAAAAAAAAAAGGAGCGAGGCUCCUCAUCGUUUCUUCUCCCCUCUGUCUGGGGCUUGUUCAGACCAGAAGAGUGGCCGGACAGUGUGCCCUGUGUGCUCCGCGGCCCCUGCUCCUGUUUCUGCACCAGCCCAGCAGCCGGGCCGACCCCAGGCACGCUGGGAGCCUGUGGCGUGAAUGGGGAGAUUGUGGUGCUCCUUCCAGAGAAACACGAGUUGCCUGGUUCCAGCCACUCUCCAUUCUGAGAGAGAUGGCCUCCAGUGACAUGUCUUUUUGUCCAGCCGACUUCCAGUGGCUGGAAAGUAGAAUGUAUGAGGACAGGUAGGAGGGAGCGGGGAUGAUUCGUAGGGAAGACGAAAAGGGCCUAGAUCGGUUCACAGUCACCCGCAGAAGAUUGCUUCUGGAAAAAAACAACAAAACCAUUAGCCCUGGUGAACGCAAUUGGGAAGGGCUCAUUUAUUCCUGCUGGAUACAGGCGCCUGAGGCCAGGUUCGCUUCCCCUCUUUAUGGCCACGCGCUCCUCCACCCUCUGCUUCUUAACUCCACUUUUGAUGCCUUCCAACCACAUCCUUCUUGGAGGAGUACGAAGUUAAAUAUCACCCGCUGUGUGCCGUUCCCCAGAGAUUACCCCUCCCCAUUCCUUUGAGUGAUUAACUGGAUAUCAAAACCAAAUUUCAAGAAAUGCAACCAAGUAAAAAUUGAUGCUUUUACAUGCACAGCGUUUC